rnacentral:tRNA from 1 species
AUUUAAAUAGUUUAAUUUAAAAUUUUGAUUUGUGGAGUCAAGGAUGUAGUUAUUUACUUUAGAUA